GAAAUGCGAUAAGUAAUGUGAAUUGCAGAAUUCAGUGAAUCAUCGAAUCUUUGAACGCACAUUGCGCCCGCCAGUAUUCUGGCGGGCAUGCCUGUUCGAGCGUCAUUACAACCCUCAGGCUCCCGGGCCUGGCGUUGGGGAUCGGCGGAAGCCCCCUGCGGGCACAACGCCGUCCCCCAAAUACAGUGGCGGUCCCGCCGCAGCUUCCAUUGCGUAGUAGCUAACACCUCGCAACUGGAGAGCGGCGCGGCCACGCCGUAAAACACCCAACUUCUGAAUGUUGACCUCGAAUCAGGUAGGAAUACCCGCUGAACUUAAGC
rnacentral:misc_RNA from 1 species